rnacentral:tRNA from 1 species
GCAUGGGUGGCUCAGUCGGUUGAGCAUCCGACUUCAGCUCAGGUCAUGAUCCCACGGUUCGUGGGUUCAAGCCCCACAUUGGGCU